rnacentral:rRNA from 1 species
UGGGGAAUUUUGGACAAUGGGCGCAAGCCUGAUCCAGCCAUGCCGCGUGAGUGAAGAAGGCCUUCGGGUUGUAAAGCUCUUUCGGCCGGGAAGAAAUCGGGGAGGCUAAUAUCCUUUCUGGAUGACGGUACCGGAAUAAGAAGCACCGGCUAACUACGUGCCAGCAGCCGCGGUAAUACGUAGGGUGCGAGCGUUAAUCGGAAUUACUGGGCGUAAAGCGUGCGCAGGCGGUUUUUUAAGAUAGGCGUGAAAUCCCCGGGCUCAACCUGGGAACUGCGCUUAUGACUGGAAGACUCGAGUAUGGCAGAGGGGGGUGGAAUUCCACGUGUAGCAGUGAAAUGCGUAGAGAUGUGGAGGAACACCGAUGGCGAAGGCAGCCCCCUGGGCCAAUACUGACGCUCAUGCACGAAAGCGUGGGGAGCAAACAGG